UCUACCCGGAACCACUUUGAAGGUGCACGCGGUACAAUGGCAACAUGUUCGACGAACAGUGAAACUGUUAAUGAAAUAAACGAUCCCGGUGCUGCUCCUUAUGGCAAUUUUAUCAACUAUUACACCUUCAAUCCUCCGGAAAACCGUUUAAGUCUGAUUCCAGUCACUCUGCUUCAGGAUUUAGGUUAUAACGACCAUCACCAGACCACACUCCUGCUGGACGUGGGGUGUAAUUCAGGGGAGCUGAGUGUGGCCUUUUAUAAACACCUGGUUCCUUCAGACCUGAGGACAGUUCACCUUCUGGGGUUCGACUUGGAUGAGAGUCUGAUUGAGCGCGCUCAGCAGACCAACCCUCUGCCCGGCAGCAUCUCCUUCAUCCCUCUGGACAUCACCGCAGACACUCGUCAGCUGCAGGAUUACCUCCGUCACCACGGCUGCUCCCACUUCCACUUGUGCCUGUGUCUGGCCGUCACCAUGUGGGUCCACCUAAACCACGGAGACUCGGGGCUGCUGCAGCUGCUCUCUCACCUGGCCUCCAUCAGCGACCACCUUCUGCUGGAGGCUCAGCCCUGGAAGUGCUACCGCUCCGCAGCCCGCCGCCUCAGGAAGCUGGGCCGCUCAGACUUUGACCACUUUAAGACCCUGAAGAUCCGAGGUGACAUGGCAGAACACGCCAGGGAGCACCUGGAGAGACACUGUGACAUGGAGCUGAUCCAGAGCUUCGGUAGCACCACAUGGGACCGUAAACUGCUGCUUUUCAGAAGGAGAUGAGACAGUUGGACUGUGGCGUUAACGUUCAUCUGCCUCAGACACUGACAUUCUGUGAAGAACUGAGAAGUCUAUAGUGUUGGACUGAACCAGAUUAAACAGAUUAGACCACAGAGAUUUAACACAAUCAGAUUCUCACAAACAUGUUAAAUGAACAUAAAACAAAUAACCAGAUCCAAGAAUUUGUGUCUUUGCUUUUGACAUUUUCGAAAGAAGCUAAUAAUGGAAGAGUCCUUGAUCUUUUUCAACUGUGUCUAAAGAAAUAAAGUGUUUUUAUCAUUUCUUUAAAUGUAAUUUUCUGCCUCCUUUGUGAUUGUUUCUUAAGAUGCUUUGCACCUUCAAAGAUGCAUUUAUUUAAAUAGAAAUUAUGGAUAAAAUUGACUUUUUCAGAUCAAACUCAAGACUGUUGAGCC